AUUGAACGCUGGCGGCAUGCCUUACACAUGCAAGUCGAACGGUAACAGGUCUUCGGAUGCUGACGAGUGGCGAACGGGUGAGUAAUGCAUCGGAACGUGCCUAGUAGUGGGGGAUAACUACUCGAAAGAGUGGCUAAUACCGCAUGAGAUCUACGGAUGAAAGCAGGGGAUCGCAAGACCUUGUGCUACUAGAGCGGCCGAUGGCAGAUUAGGUAGUUGGUGGGAUAAAAGCUUACCAAGCCGACGAUCUGUAGCUGGUCUGAGAGGACGAUCAGACACACUGGGACUGAGACACGGCCCAGACUCCUACAGGAGGAAGCAGUGGGGAAUUUUGGACAAUGGGCGCAAGCCUGAUCCAGCAAUGCCGCGUGCAGGAAGAAGGCCUUCGGGUUGUAAACUGCUUUUGUACGGAACGAAACGGCUCUGGUUAAUACCUGGGGCUAAUGACGGUACCGAAAGAAUAAGCAGCUACUAACUACGUGCCAGCAGCCGCCGUAACAC
rnacentral:rRNA from 1 species